ACAACAAAAAAAUGCAGCUCGCCCCGCGCGCUGCUACGGCUUCGGCCCAGCGCCCCGCGUGUGCGCCCGCGGCGGCUGGCCUGGUCCGGCUCAACUUUUGGCCCAAAAAGCCCGGGGCGAGGCUAGGGUUUCGAUCUCAGUCGUUCGAUUGCAUCUAACGAUCCAGCGAACUUUUCUCUCGAACAAAACCGAGGAAAGCCCCCGAUUCGAAAACCUAGCCCCCAUUCUCUCGAUGCUUCUUUCCCUCUUCGUCUCUGUAGUCGCCCGCGACGUCGAUGGCCGGGCCGCCGGCGACGGCGCCGAGGGCCACCGCGCCGCGCCCGGCCGCCGGCGACGGCCACCCUGCCGCGCCUCUUUUUCCCUUCCUUUCCUCCCUCCAUAUCUCUAGUGACAGAGAAAGAGAGCAGCGGGGUCGAGCCCUCUCUGAUCCCCAUCACCGCUGACCUCUCUAGCUGCCGGCGGCUGGCUGGUGGCUAGCGAGGCUCCCCGGCGCGGUAACAAGAGUUAGGUUUCGGAUGGCUGAGAUGUAGAAAUGGACUCUUUAUUUCAGGCUCUUCCAGCCUGUAUGCUGCGCAUGGGGCCUGUAAUGUGCUCCACAAGGGAAUUUGACCCGCUAUGUGUCAUGCCCUGGUCAAAUGUGAUGUGAACUCGGUAGGAAUUAACAUGUCCUGGUCAACUGUAACUGGAGUUAAUCUUCUGACUUGUGAACUGCCCGUCUGUUAUCUGAUUUCUAUAGGAAAUAUUCGAACUGGCAUGAGGAGAAACUAACUUCCUUCGGUUAAUGCAUUAGCAUUGGGCUUGUCACUGAA